ACACAACGACUUGUUCACAACACUUGGAUCUCACACAUUUGCCAUUGCAGUAUAUACUCUGCAAGUACUUUCGACUUUCCAUCCACUUCCACCAGCUGUUAUACACAUGUUUGGCUCCCCAACUUCUACAUGUUUAAAGAAUUCAUCUCACUGUUUGCAAAACAAUUUGGUUCUGUUUUGUUGCAACUCUUUUUUCCUAUAAAUUUUGUCUAAUUGUGUUAGUUUCAUACAGGGAGUUCAUAAUCAGAGAUGAAUUGAAGUGCUUGUGCUUGAGAAAUGGCAAUGGAAUCAAAUAGUGCAGGAGGGGGGAAGGUGUUUUAUGACCCACUUUAUAGUCCAAGGCGUUUGCAGAAUGACAACAGUAAUGGCCAGUGUAGAAAGUUGUUUGAUGAUUUCAGUGUUGCAAAUCAUGUGCACUUUUUGAGGCCACACUUAAACUCAGUGAGUUCAAAGAGUGUGUUGCAGAGCCAGGACAACAAGUUACAGGCCAAAGAAGAAAAGCUUAAUAAAUGAGUUUAGCUAAUUCUUCUGAUGCUUGUGUUGGUGAUGGUGAUCAGAACUCAUAAAAUCAUGGUGUAUUUACAUUGUGUAUAUAAUGUCUAACAAGUCUAUGUAGCCUUUUUCUUUCUGUUAAAGAAAAUCAAAAUGAAACUGUACCAUUGAGCUUCUCAUAUGACAUGGGGCUCAGAUAAAUUUAAGGUCUCAAUGUAUAUAAGGGACAAGAUACUUGUUUGGUUUGAAGUUUGAUGGCGUUCUUGUAACAGCAGAAUUUGAAAAGAAUAAAGUAGGAUGUUUCACUCUA